rnacentral:rRNA from 1 species
GACGAACGCUGGCGGCGUGCUUAACACAUGCAAGUCGAACGAUGAAGCCGGAGCUUGCUCUGGUGAAUUAGUGGCGAACGGGUGAGUAACACGUGAGUAACCUGCCCUUGACUCUGGGAUAACUGCUAGAAAUGGUAGCUAAUACCGGAUACGACCCUCGGAGGCAUCUCCAGGGGGUGGAAAGAAUUUCGGUCCAGGAUGGACUCGCGGCCUAUCAGCUAGUUGGUGAGGUAACGGCUCACCAAGGCGACGGCGGGUAGCCGGCCUGAGAGGGUGACCGGCCACACUGGGACUGAGACACGGCCCAGACUCCUACGGGAGGCAGCAGUGGGGAAUAUUGCACAAUGGGCGCAAGCCUGAUGCAGCAACGCCGCGUGAGGGAUGACGGCCUUCGGGUUGUAAACCUCUUUUAGUAGGGAAGAAGCGAAAGUGACGGUACCUGCAGAAAAAGCACCGGCUAACUACGUGCCAGCCGCCGCGGUAA